UGAGGAAUAUUGGUCAAUGGGCGUGAGCCUGAACCAGCCAAGUCGCGUGAGGGAAGACGGUACUGAGUAUUGUAAACCUCUUUUGCCGGGGAGCAAUGUCGUGCACGGGUGCACGAGUGAGCGUACCCGGAGAAAAAGCAUCGGCUAACUCCGUGCCAGCAGCCGCGGUAAUACGGAGGAUGCGAGCGUUAUCCGGAUUUAUUGGGUUUAAAGGGUGCGCAGGCGGUGGCUCAAGUCAGCGGUCAAAUGUCGGGGCUCAACCCCGGCCUGCCGUUGAAACUGGGGCACUCGAGUUGGAGAGAAGUACGCGGAAUUCGUGGUGUAGCGGUGAAAUGCAUAGAUAUCACGAAGAACCCCGAUUGCGAAGGCAGCGUACCGGCUCCACACUGACGCUCAGGCACGAAAGCGUGGGUAUCGAACAGG
rnacentral:rRNA from 1 species